rnacentral:lncRNA from 1 species
GGGGGCUACCGGCUAAGACGAAGCCGAUUCAGAUUGGAGCAAAUCGAACAUCGAUUUGAUCCUGUCGUACCGCGUAAACAGCCAAGAUGGCGAUCCCCGAUUCGUGACGUCACAUGAAGUUCGGCAAGCCGAUUGAACGAAUGAUUUCAGUACUUUUGACACCUAUAUCGGUACCGGCUAAAAAAUCGAAGUUCGGCGCCUGAAGCCGAUUCCCAUUGGAAGUGUCAGUUGAAGCCGGGCACUUUUCAGUAACCGUGAUCAAUUUUAAUUUCUUAUUUUCACUGUUUUCCAACAAUAUUAGGAGCUAUUUACGGUGGGCGACAAAUUUUAGGAACAUCUUAAUCAAUGUAAAAUUGAUAUCGGCGUGAAUUUUCGUGUUUAAAUACCUAAAUACAGUGUCAUGGAGAUAGUCGUAUUGUGGGCUGCUGCGGAAGAAAAUGUCUUCAGAAUCUUGAGCAAAUCGAUCGCAGGAUACUUCGAGAGAAAAGCCAGUAUAUACUUCUCACAGGUACAUCUAUUUAUAACAUUAUUUCUGACAAGUGGCUGAAUGUUUACAGAGGAAAAGUUGCUGAACUUACUAGAAGCGAUUUUUGAUCAUUUCAUACUUAUCUAUUUUGUUUUGUUUCAGAGAGUAGCUACAUUGAUAAUUUUAGAUUAUCAAAAGAUGCAUUUCGGACUUUGUAUCAUGACUUAGGACCAUUAUCUGAAGGAAGUCCAAAGCUCUACAACUGUGCAACCGACUUUAAGUGACAAAUGCCCUCAAUCAGCCUGCAAUCGUGAGACAAUAUAUCAAGUUUCCUUGGGACAGAAACUGAGCAUGUAGAAGUCUCCAGAGGUUUUAAUGACAAAUUUGGAUUUAUUGGAGUACUUGGAUGCAUCCACGGCACACACAUUGCCAUUAUCCAACCUCACGAGUGGGAAGAGGCCUUCUUCAAUAGCAAGUAUUACCAUUCAUUGCAUGUUAUGUUGGUUUGUGAUGGAGAUAUGUGCAUUACAUUAUUGUGAUGCAUCCAAUGGGAGUGUUAGUGCUAGACUGCUAGCCAAGAUAUCCAUAUUUGGAACAACAGCACUUUGAGAAGGGAAAAGGAACAUCUCCUUAAUUUUAAUAUGUUUUAAGUUCAUUAAGUGGACUCAUGUGGUCCUUGAAAUGUAAAUUAUAAAGUCAGUGUGGUGUAAUCAAAAGUGGCAGAUUGUUAUUCAAUAAUACAACAUCUAAACAAACCUUUCUUUAUUGGCAUCAAAUAAAUUAUAUUCAUUAAGUAUGCAGAUUUAUUUAUUUUGUGUUAUUACAUAAUUUGUUUCAUUGCACCCCUCUCAUUAACCAACCUAUCUCUCAAGUAGAUACAUUUCUCUAAUCCUGUGUCCAUUGUGCUUAAUAAAGUAGUUUAUCCUUCUAUCUUUAACUUGUAAUAAAUAAAUCCAUUUAUUUUGUAUAAAUACAAGCUUGCGGGGCCUUAUUUCACUAGACUAUUUGUAAUGUGUAAUAGUAGUCAAAACAGCCCUGCGGGUGGAUCGAAGAAAUGUAAUCAAUUAGAACAUACUACAAAUAUAAUAUUGUACCCAAUUCUUACUAUAAUAUGGAAAUA